ensembl:lncRNA
AUAUGUUCAACAAUAUGAAACGUAGUCUUAGGUGUUUUAAAAUGACACCAAGUUUAUUUCGGAUUAUUCCAAAGAAAGAAUACAAGGCGCGGGAAACUUUGAGUUUUGAACAGACAACACAAAGCUGCAUCUCUCCUACCUGUCUUCAAUCAAAUCUGGACCCAAUGACUCAAACAUCAUCUUUGUCGAGGCUAAUUACAGUGUAGGCGUCUCACGCUGCAUCACCGGGGUUCCGUCCGUGACCCUACAGGCCGCGCGUGCAACGAGGAUCUCGUCGUGUCACAGUGUUAAAUACUGUACAUCACACGCCUGUGCCUCCUCUCCCACUGGAAGCCCACCCGGCAACCUCAUCUAAUUGGUUCGCAGGCCCCCAAAGUGAGUGUGAUGACAAUCUGAGCGCCGCUCAGCAAAUCCCCUCCGGCCAAAGGUCCUUCAUUUGGAUCCGAGAGCUUUAUGAAUAACCAGAGGUGUUAAUCACUACCAGCAACAGAUUUCUGUUAUUUUUGGAGCGCAGCGCACUGAAUAUUUCCCCAGGCCCUUUUGGGAAAUGACUUACUUGUACAAAUGUUGAGAGAUCUCUAAUCCGCUCCACUACCGCUAGAAGUAAGCCACACAGAGUUGCGUUGUAAUAUUUGGCAGAAAGUAGAGGCUUUUUAUCCUGUUCAUCCCGGGAUCCCUUUGUCGUUGUUGUCUUCACAAAUGAGCUAAUAAGCAAACAUGCCGAGCAGGAAAGGAUAUGUGGUCCGACUGUUACCGUCAUUCAUUCAUGACGGUCGUAGAUACUUCUACCACGUCAUUAUACCUCAUUUUCUUUCUCCUCAAACUCUUUAAAAAAAAAUACAAUUUCAGUCCACUCAUUACAAAACAAAGCCUCGUCCUCGUCACAUGACUGACUCAUUUUGCCUCCUGAGUAGUUAAUAUCCUGUGAAAUGUUUCUACAACAGUGAAGCUCUGAUCUGCAAUUAUUGGACCAAUUAUUAUGUCUGUAGUUUAGCAAUCAACUGCAGGGAGCAUGAGAACUGUUUGUGUAGUCAGGACGGCUCAAUGACAGUAAGUGCUCUGAGUCUCACAUUUCUCAGCAGAAUGCCCCGGAGGAACCGGGGCUCCAAGGUCGUUGCUUCUACAUAUCGUGACCUACCUAAGAGGCAUGAAUGAGCUCGACGUUGAGACUGAUUUAGAUAACACGCUUUGAUCUGCUAGUGUACAGGAAUCCCCUCAGGAUGGACAAUAUAUAAAAUACACAUAUGUGUCUUCUUUUGUGGAAUAAGAUGAGAGGAGUAAUUAAUGGGCCUUAUCUGUAGCUACUGGCAGGCGACAGCAUGCGGUAUUCACAGUGCAGGUUAAAGGGGCCGAAAUACAAUUACUUUGUGACAUCUCUUUUUUUUCAUAAGAUUAUAAACCACACAAAUCAAAUAGAAUUGUACAUUUUUGACUCUGACUUGGGCCUCUUUCAUAUGUCGUCUGAUGUUUUACGCGGCAACCUCUGUGUGUUCAUUUUGGAAUUCAUGCAACGCUUAAUUCCUCCUUCCUAUGUUUCCAUGACGACCACAUACCACAUAUCUCUAACGACUUAAUGGUUGACUAGAAUUGCUUCUGUGCAUUUCAGUGAAAAGAUGAGAGCUUUUUUCUAAUUUGAAGCGGUGAGAGCGGUGCACUCAGUAAAAAGACAUACGCUCGGUCCUCAUUGGGAACAAACACUGGCCCCCGAGAAAAGGGCGCUAUGUGGACAUGAUCCUGUGUUACCCACAGACUUAUUUCAGGCAUCUAAUCAAAAAGCCAUUAAAAAAGCAGAUCAAUGACUCGAGACGAGGGAACGUGAAGUGUUAUUCUAUUGGCUUCUCUGGUUAGACCCCGAG